UGUAAAUGAGUUUUUUUAUUUUAUAAUUAAGUUGGGAUUUAUAUUUAUGUUGGGCUAAAAAUCAAAUAAAAAAAGUUUAUAUUAUAUUUUAUAUAUAUAUAUAUAUAUAUAUAUAUAAUUAUUUAUUUUUAUUUAUAAAUCUAAAAUAUAUGUAUUCAAGCUGUUAUCAAGGCGAACAAGAGCAAGAUGAUUUCGGCUCAUGUUUGGCUCGUUUAUUAAACGAAUUGAAAAUUUUCAUCUCGUAUUCGAUUCGUUUACUAAAUAAACAAUUUGAUGUCGCGUUAAUUCGGAUCAAAUACAAGUUAACUCAAGAAUAGUAAACUGAAUUGCCACCCAUAGGCCCAUAAGAGUGUUGAUCCCAUGGGAGUACUCUUUAGGGCUUGUUUUGUUCAAAGGUGAAAUUGGAAUGGAUAAUGGAAUGGGAAUGGAUUAGAAUGGUAAUUGGAAUGGCCCACUCCCCCAAAACAUUUGGUUUAUUUGUGGAUUGAAAAUUGGAAUGAGUUAUUCACAUUUCAUUGUUUAGUUCGUAUAAACUAAAAAAAUUAUAGGAUACUAUAAUACUAAUUUUACUCUCAAAUAUAAAUUUAUAUUAUUUAAAAUUUAUGAAAAAUAUAAUACUAUUCUCUAAUAAGUUUUUCAAAAAAAAUAUCAAAUUUAUUUUUAAAAACUUUUAUUGAUGUGGGUUAGGGAUAGGGUUUUGAGAGAGGAUAUGUUUUUUUUUUUGAUGAGAAAGAAGUGAAGAGAAGGAGGAUGAGAUGGUCACAUGGGUUUCGAGAACUUAGUGGGCUUCCGGAAUGAAAUCUCAAUCCGGGUUAGAAGACCGGAAUCAAGUUGAAGGCUAAUGGGUCAUUCCCAUUCCAGUCCGAAAUAAAAAUUUCAAACCGAUUCAUGCGAACCAAACAAAAUUAACCGAAUUUGAUCAAAUCAAUUUUCAUUCUAUACUCAAAAUGGAUGAACCAAACAAGCCCUUAAUAGAGUGUCAAAGUUUACACCCAAAAAUGAGUGUAC
rnacentral:lncRNA from 1 species